GAUAAAAAAUUAAACAACAUUCAGAAAAUCUGAACGACUGAACGUUUGAAUGAAACAGCCUUUACAAUGAAAUUGUUUUCAUAAAUUAAUAUAUAAAUUAUUUUCUAUGAAAAUCGAAGCAAUGGAUUCACCACUUUGAAAAUUAAGAACUUGUAUACUGUUGUGACUGACAAACAAUGUUGGGUAUGAAGUCUAUGGUGUGAAUGUAGUUGGUAUAAUUUAUAAUUGUAUUAAAUUAUCGAUAAGUUAAUGAUCUUGGAUAAGCAGUUCAAGUGGAAAAAUUACUACAACACAGAUUCUGUAAACAAACGCCUUCAAACGUGUUACCAAAUUUAAUUAUAAUUAUUUUGGAUAAAAAUCUGUGAAAAGGUCGUGAAUUACUCAUGUAACAGAGGUUUCCCUGUUUACAGAUACUUGUCACUAAUAGUAUCCACCAUAAGAUAUAUAUGUAUGCAUCUGAAUAAAGGACAGUCAAUGCUGCUGUUCAACUUAUGGUCAUACGGAACCAAUUGUUUAAUAUAUACAAUUGAAGUUUUUUCAACGAUAAUAAUAGUUUUUAGACCUACGGCCAUCAUCUGAGAAGAGAGACACCACUCCACCGGUACUGUGCAAAAACUGCGGUGAACUGUCACCAGUAAUACACCUUUUUGUCUACUGCCACAACUAGAACUAAUCUAGACAUUUUGGACAAUCUAUACGAAGCUCUAAACCCUCAAGAAGAAAAAAAGCUGAAGCUGUAACAAUGUAAAAAAAAUAAAGUUUGUUGAUGUACUAUUUAACUAAUAAAUAAUUAUUAAGAGGACGCCAUUCCUGCAUGCAUUAUCCCCAUCUUACAAAUGUAUAACAUACCAAAUUGUACGUUCUGAAUAAUUUAUUUAACUUAUGUUAUGUUUAAUUUUAGAGUGAAUUAAUUAUCUAAUUUAGAAUUAAGAUUAUUAUCAAGACGAUCACUAAGUUUUAUUUUAUAUUUCAACUUUAAAUCAAAUUAUCAAGUUUUGAAUGGAGGAAAAUCUUAAUGUUAAAUUUGAUAUUCCAACAAUAUUUGGUGUUUUUGCUCACAUUUGACUAGAAGAAGUGCUCCAACAUUCAAUAUAGUUAUUGAUCGCUAUAAUUUAGAAAUUGGAUACAUAAUCUACUUCCUGAUAUCUAUUGAAAAAACAACUAUAAAAGCCAGAUUAAUUUUGACUUAAAUUUAAUUUUAGGUAAUAAACAUUAAUCUAUGUAUUAGUGGAAAAAAAAACUUUUCCCAAAGUAACACAAAUUUUUAUGUCUAAAAACUUAUGAACUAUAUAAUUUAUUAAUUGACUCCAUUACUACUUUUUCAUUAUUUAUUGUUUUUGUUUAUAUUAUUUCUUUAUAAUAGUUAAAACCAUAGUUAAAGCCAAUAAUUAUAUUAUUGUAAUAUUAUUUUUAUUAAAAUGUGUAAUGAAUCUCCCACUCAAUAUUUUGUUAAUAUGUUAUUACAUGAAGUAAAAGAUAAAUUUGAAUUAUUAUAUCAUUAAUAUUCCAAUAUUUAUUUUAAUAAUAUCAUUUAUAAUAAUAUAAAACUGUUGUGAUGAAUAGGUUGCUAUUAAAAUUGGUAUUUUGUAUGUUGUAAGCAAUAUAGUCUUAAUUUACCUGAGUUAUUUUUAUAAUAAUUUCUAAAAGCUACAUAAAACAAAAUAUUAAAUUAUGAGUUGUAUGUUACCUAUAUUUUAGUAAAUUUUAUUACAAAAUAUUAAAAAUAAACUUCACUAAAUACCUGGAAUUUAAAUUAAAACCAUAGAAUACCAAAGCAGUAUAUUUAUUCGGUUA